rnacentral:rRNA from 1 species
CGCGUAGGCGGUUUCUUAAGUCUGAUGUGAAAGCCCACGGCUCAACCGUGGAGGGUCAUUGGAAACUGGGAAACUUGAGUGCAGAAGAGGAAAGUGGAAUUCCAUGUGUAGCGGUGAAAUGCGCAGAGAUAUGGAGGAACACCAGUGGCGAAGGCGACUUUCUGGUCUGUAACUGACGUUGAUGUGCGAAAGCGUGGGGAGCAAACA